UCUGGGCUGCACACUGUCUCCUUAUCUCUGCUCUCUGACAUUAUAAACACUCAUUAUAUCUCAGUUCUUAUGUUACUGGUAAGAACGUGGCUUAAAUAAGUGUUUAUGUCCUCUUGGUAGGUUAG